rnacentral:ncRNA from 1 species
AUAUGUAUGAUGAAGAAGAAGAGUAACCUUAUUGCUUUUUAAGAGAGAUGAUGGCUGGUGAAAAUCAUUAAAGUGGUAAGAUGAAGGGAGCUUCUGAGUGCAAGGUAGUUAGAAAGAUGGGCUUUAGCCAAAAAGGGUGGAACCGCGGAUUAUUUUCGUCCCUUUG